UAAACCGGGAAUAAACCUGGAACGGGAUCGGGAUAAACCGGGGAUAAAGCUGGGAUAGAACCGGGAUGGGAUCGGGGAUAGACCGUGCUGGACGAUUGUCUGAGCCAGCAGGUGAGAAACGGGUUAAUAAACACGGGAUAGGAACGGGAUAGGACCGGGAUAAAGCUGCGAUGGGAUCCGGAUAAACCGGGGAUAAAGCUGGGAUAGAACCGGGAUGGGAUCGGGAUAGACCGUGCUGGACGAUUGCCUGAGCCAGCAGGUGAGGGGUUAAUAAACCUGGGAUAGAACCGGGACAGAACCGGGAUAAAGCCGGGAUGGGAUCCGGAUAAACCGGGGAUAAAGCUGGGAUAGAACCGGGAUGGGAUCGGGAUAGACCGUGCUGGACGAUUGCCUGAGCCAGCAGGAGCUGCUGGGGGAGCCGGGGGACCCCCCCGAGCUGGGGCUGCACCUCCCGUUCGUGGGGUACUCGUACGCCCGCGGGGACCGCGAGGACGAGGAAGAAGAGGAGGAAGAUGAGGAUGAGGAUGAGGAGUGGGACCAGGACGCGGCCAUGGAGCUGGAGGGGGAGUGGGGGACCCCCCCCGAAUCGGGGACCCCCCCGGGCAGCGGGACCCCCUUGGCCAUAGGGACCCCCCCGCGAAGGGGGACGCCCCCCCCGCCCCCCCCAUCCCAGGGCGCCCCCACCCCCCCGGGGGCC